UCUCCGUAGGUGAACCUGCGGAGGGAUCAUUACAGAGUUCAUGCCCUCCCGGGUAGAUCUCCCACCCUAUGUUAUUAUUACUUUGUUGCUUUGGCGGGCCGUUAGGCUCCGGCCCGACUACCGGCCCCGGCUGGUAAGCGCCCGCCAGAGGACCCAAAACCCUGAAUAUUAGUGUCGUCUGAGUACUAUAUAAUAGUUAAAACUUUCAACAACGGAUCUCUUGGUUCUG
rnacentral:misc_RNA from 1 species